rnacentral:rRNA from 1 species
CGCCUUGCCAGCCCGCUCAGAAACUCAAGGAAUUGACGGGGGCCCGCACAAGCGGUGGAGUAUGUGGUUUAAUUCGAUGCAACGCGAAGAACCUUACCUGGUCUUGACAUCCCGGAGACCCUUAGGAAACUAGGGGGUGCUUCCAUCUGGAAGAAUCUGGAGACAGGUGCUGCAUGGCUGUCGUCAGCUCGUGUCGUGAGAUGUUGGGUUAAGUCCCGCAACGAGCGCAACCCUUGCCUUUAGUUGCCAGCAGUUCGGCUGGGCACUCUAAAGGGACUGCCGGUGUUAAACCGGAGGAAGGUGGGGAUGACGUCAAGUCCUCAUGGCCUUUAUGACCAGGGCUACACACGUACUACAAUGGCCGAUACAAAGGGCAGCGACACUGCGAGGUGAAGCCAAUCCCGUAAAAUCGGUCUCAGUCCGGAUUGGAGUCUGCAACUCGACUCCAUGAAGUUGGAAUCGCUAGUAAUCGUGGAUCAGCAUGCCACGGUGAAUACGUUCCCGGGCCUU